AAAAAGAAAACUGGAAACAGGAACAUCUGUUGGAUUCUGUGGAUUUCCUGUGGAUGUGCAUUCUUCAGCGCACAUUAUUAAAGAUAAGCUUUCACCGUCGCGACAAACACUGGACCAGGAGAGCCACGCAAUACAAAGUACAGCCGUGCCAAAGCAGGAGCGCACCGUGCCAAACGGAAACGCCGCGCACUGAGCGCGCAGCGACAUGAUUGAAUGCUGCCUUCAAGUGGAGUCGUGUUUACCUUGGUUAUAAGAAGUGUCCAUAUGAACGUCAUGUUUGGAACAUCUGAAAGGUCAAAGUUCAGGAGCUGUGACGUGUUUGCUGACGUUUUCAGAAAUGGUGGAGGCCAAGGAAGGUCAUUUUCGUCACAUGAUUGCUGAAUUGAUAACUCAGUGGAAGUGAAACAGUGAAAGCUACGUGGAAAAAGGUUUGGACAUGUUUUCUACUG